UGGGGAAUAUUGCACAAUGGGCGAAAGCCUGAUGCAGCGACGCCGCGUGAGGGAUGACGGCCUUCGGGUUGUAAACCUCUUUCAGCAGGGAAGAAGCGAAAGUGACGGUACCUGCAGAAGAAGCGCCGGCUAACUACGUGCCAGCAGCCGCGGUAAUACGUAGGGCGCAAGCGUUGUCCGGAAUUAUUGGGCGUAAAGAGCUCGUAGGCGGUUAGUCGCGUCUGCUGUGAAAACUCGAGGCUCAACCUCGGGCUUGCAGUGGGUACGGGCUGACUAGAGUGCGGUAGGGGUGACUGGAAUUCCUGGUGUAGCGGUGGAAUGCGCAGAUAUCAGGAGGAACACCGAUGGCGAAGGCAGGUCACUGGGCCGCAACUGACGCUGAGGAGCGAAAGCAUGGGGAGCGAACAGGAUUAGAUACCCUGGUAGUCCAUGCCGUAAACGUUGGGCACUAGGUGUGGGUCCAUUCCACGGAUUCCGUGCCGCAGCAAACGCAUU
rnacentral:rRNA from 1 species